UUACACCUGACACCUUUCACUAGCAUAGUUUACUCAGUAUUGCCAAGCCUCAUGAUUUCAGCACCAUGUAAUUUUGGCUUCUACUUGUGUUAAUCUCAUAGUGACAUGGGAAGCUCCAGCCAUCACACACAUUUCUGCCCUUUAACUGAGAUCCCUUCAAAUUACUGACCUUCCCAUUUUGCCCUACUCCUGGGAACGAACUAUCAGAAUCAGGGCUGCCAAGGGAAGCAGGAAGAGCUGCUUGGAUCAAGCAGCAGGAGCCAAAGUCACUUAGCUGUAUGCAUUUGGAAAAAUUAGGAACUUUCUCAAACACAAUGGCCAACAGACCAAAAUAUCAGAUUAGAACCACCUCUUUAAAAAGCAACCGUUUAAUCAGGGCCAGAAAAGCUGAUGAUUCCAUCUUGUGGGGAAUGAGAGAAACAGCAAGUCCAGAAAAGCCAAAGCUCUGAUACAGAAGAAUCUCUGAGAGAAAAAAAAUAAUGCAAACCUUAUUUUAGAGACAAAUUCAGUUAAAAUGGCAGAAAAACAACAAUGUAUAGUAAUAUACCAUUAAAAUGUGUUAUCAUUUUAGUAAUAUUCAAUUACAUUUUAACAUGCAUCUAAUCAACAGAAAAUCAAAUGUUUUGAUACAGAGCUUUGAUAUCUCUGCCACACUAUCUCUGUGACUAUGACAGAGGAAUAGAGGCAGAUAAAGGUCCAGAGAUGCUCUACUAGUGUAAACCAUGGUAUCACUGUUGAAGUUUAUGGAGCUAUGCAAAUUGAAAUAGGCCAGGGAUCCAAAUCAAACUAGUUUAUAUAUGUUAAUAAAAUGUGAUAAUAAAACUGGUAAGAAAGAAUUAUAAUGAUAAGAAUUCAUAAAGAAAAAAUAAGGAAUUGCAUAUUUAGCAUAUGGCUAUCAAAUUUAUUUGUAAAUGAUUUCUGAAAAGAAAUUUAAGCAAAGUC